AUUGAACGCUGGCGGCAGGCUUAACACAUGCAAGUCGAGCGGGGGAAGGUAGCUUGCUACUGGACCUAGCGGCGGACGGGUGAGUAAUGCUUAGGAAUCUGCCUAUUAGUGGGGGACAACAUCUCGAAAGGGAUGCUAAUACCGCAUACGUCCUACGGGAGAAAGCAGGGGAUCUUCGGACCUUGCGCUAAUAGAUGAGCCUAAGGCGGAUUAGCUAGUUGGUGGGGUAAAGGCCUACCAAGGCGACGAUCUGUAGCGGGUCUGAGAGGAUGAUCAGCCAUACUGGGACUUAGACACGGCCCAGACUCCUACGGGAGGCAGCAGUGGGGAAUAUUGGACAAUGGGGGGAACCCUGAUCCAGCCAUGCCGCGUGUGUGAAGAAGGCCUUAUGGUUGUAAAGCACUUUAAGCGAGGAGGAGGCUACUUUAGUUAAUACCUAGAGAUAGUGGACGUUACUCGCAGAAUAAGCACCGGCUAACUCUGUGCCAGCCGCCGCGGUAA
rnacentral:rRNA from 1 species